UUUGUAAACUGGUUCUGCCUACAAACGCUGCACUGGGAGAUGUACGUAUAUGUCUUUUAGCACAUUUGACACCGGGAGAUUUGCAGGUUCUUGAGAGGCAGGCUAACACUGCAGAUUUGAGGGACAGUCACCCUUUCUCCCCCAUUUCUCAACAAGAGCCGGUCACUUACAUCAGAUAAGUGCACGAUUGACA